UCUUCAAAGAAUCAAAGGACUGGAUGCAUGCAUGUUGAUUGUACACGAGUAUAUGGUGACUUGAUACAAAGAAAUGAUGGCAAUGGUGAACAAUGUUAUGAGGAGAUAUUGAAUUGCAUGUAGAGUUCAAAGUGAUUUGGAAGGGUAAAGCUAAUGCUGUGAAUGGUUGGACUUUGACAUUAUUAUUAGCUAUUGUAUCAAAACUUUGGUGCAGAAGAUUUUGUAGCCAGAUUCCUGUUAUCAAAUUUUCUCUUUCAUAAAAAUCUUGCUUUCAGUUUU